GAGGCCGUAGCUCAGUCGGUAGAGCACCUCCCUUUUAAGGAGGGUGUCCCGGGUUCGAUUCCCGGCGGCCUCA
rnacentral:tRNA from 1 species